UACUACUCCGAUCCAGAAAUCUUCGCUAAACCAUCACAUGAGAUGAAUAACUACAAGUUGGACUCCACAUAACAUUAUUCCUUGUUCUGAUCAGUCAAUAAAUGUAAUCUGCAUCAAUUUUCCAAUAAUUACAUCUUCUUACUAGUUUAUUUUCCCUCUCAGGGCUGGAACGCAAUGUUACAGCCCACUUUAUAAAUUACUAAAACUCGAGUUAUUCCAGAUUGACGACUUGACACAGAUAUUCAUCAGACAACCUAAAUAAAGGACUCCCACUCUCCAAACCAGUAGAGAUCCAAUCACUGCCUCCAGGGUACCCCUUCAUCCGGUAUUAGCAGUUCCUCCACCACCACCAGGUUGAUCUGAUUAGUAAACUCAAGGAAGAUGAUACCAGAUCAGUCCCGAACUUUGCCUCAGCAUCAUACUCUGCCUAGUGUCGAUAAAGAGGAUUCACAAACAAUCGAGAUUCACUUACAAAUAUUUGCUAUUACUUUUUACAAUUGCAGUUA